rnacentral:rRNA from 1 species
AUUGAACGCUGGCGGCAUGCUUUACACAUGCAAGUCGAACGGUAACAGGCCUUCGGGUGCUGACGAGUGGCGCACGGGUGAGUAAUGCAUCGGAACGUACCCAGAGGUGGGGGAUAACGCAGCGAAAGCUGUGCUAAUACCGCAUGUGAUCUGAGGAUGAAAGCGGGGGACCGAGCAGCAAUGUUUGGCCUCGUGCCGUUGGACCGGCCGAUGUUGGGUUUGCUAGUUGGGUGGGUAAAGGCCUACCAAGGGGGCGAUCCGUCGCUGGUCUGAGAGGACGACCAGCCACACUGGGACUGGGACACGGCCCAGGCGCCUGCGGGAGGCAGCAGUGGGGAAUGUUGGACAAUGGGCGCAAGCCUGGUCCAGCAAUGCCGCGUGCGGGAAGAAGGCCUUCGGGUUGUAAACCGCUUUUGGCAGGAACGAAACGGUGUCCGCUAAUACCGGGCGCUAAUGACGGUACCUGCAGAAUAAGCACCGGCUAACUACGUG